rnacentral:rRNA from 1 species
GACGAACGCUGGCGGCGUGCUUAACACAUGCGAGUCGAACGGAAAGGCCCUGCUUUUGUGGGGUGCUCGAGUGGCGAACGGGUGAGUAACACGUGAGUAACCUGCCCUUGACUUUGGGAUAACUUCAGGAAACUGGGGCUAAUACCGGAUAGGAGCUCCUGCUGCAUGGUGGGGGUUGGAAAGUUUCGGCGGUUGGGGAUGGACUCGCGGCUUAUCAGCUUGUUGGUGGGGUAGUGGCUUACCAAGGCUUUGACGGGUAGCCGGCCUGAGAGGGUGACCGGCCACAUUGGGACUGAGAUACGGCCCAGACUCCUACGGGAGGCAGCAGUGGGGAAUAUUGCACAAUGGGCGGAAGCCUGAUGCAGCAACGCCGCGUGCGGGAUGACGGCCUUCGGGUUGUAAACCGUUUUCGCCUGUGACGAAGCGUGAGUGACGGUAAUGGGUAAAGAAGCACCGGCUAACUACGUG